GACGAACGCUGGCGGCGUGCUUAACACAUGCAAGUCGAACGGAAAGGCCCUGCUUUUGUGGGGUGCUCGAGUGGCGAACGGGUGAGUAACACGUGAGUAACCUGCCCUUGACUUUGGGAUAACUUCAGGAAACUGGGGCUAAUACCGGAUAGGAGCUCCUGCUGCAUGGUGGGGGUUGGAAAGUUUCGGCGGUUGGGGAUGGACUCGCGGCUUAUCAGCUUGUUGGUGGGGUAGUGGCUUACCAAGGCCUUGACGGGUAGCCGGCCUGAGAGGGUGACCGGCCACAUUGGGACUGAGAUACGGCCCAGACUCCUACGGGAGGCAGCAGUGGGGAAUAUUGCACAAUGGGCGGAAGCCUGAUGCAGCAACGCCGCGUGCGGGAUGACGGCCUUCGGGUUGUAAACCGCUUUCGCCUGUGACGAAGCGUGGGUGACGGUAAUGGGUAAAGAAGCACCGGCUAACUACGUG
rnacentral:rRNA from 1 species